UACGGAGGGUGCAAGCGUUAUCCGGAAUCACUGGGUUUAAAGGGUGCGUAGGUGGCAUUAUAAGUCAGAGGUGAAAGCCUAUCGCUUAACGGUAGAACUGCCUUUGAUACUGUAGUGCUUGAAUUAGGCUGAGGUUAGCGGAAUGUGACAUGUAGCGGUGAAAUGCAUAGAUAUGUCAUAGAACACCAAUUGCGAAGGCAGCUAACUAGACCUAUAUUGACACUGAGGCACGAAAGCGUGGGGAGCAAACAGG
rnacentral:rRNA from 1 species